UCUUGGUGUAGCAGUGCGGACGUGUUUGUUGUCCCGUGUAAAUGUUGUUUUUUCUCUUUUUUGUAUAUAUUUCACUCUUUUUCCAUUUUCAAAUUAAAUAUACCUUCCGGCAACCCACCUCACCCAACGUGAGACGGAUCUGCUAUUUUUAGACCUUAUAGCUAGAACCUCCAUCAGAAGCUAGCCAGCAAAUUAUCUACUAGCUAUUUAGUCAUUGUUAUCCACUGCUAGCGGCCUUUACCUUUAGCUCAGACACCAGCCGCUUUUAGACUGGAUAAUACCUGCCAGUCUGCACAGCACGAUAUCAACCCUGAGCAUAUUGGACUGCUUUUCUCCACUACAUCACCGGAUUCCUGCCAUUAGCUCUGGACCAUUACACCGGAUCAUCACAGCUAGCUAGCUGCUACCGAGUGGCCCAGCCCCGAAGCUAGCCUUGAGCCAGUCCCAAUGAUCACUCGACUACACAGCUGAUGCCUCCCGGACUCUUACCGGACUCUUCACUAACACGACUAGAAGCCACUACAUCACCGGAUUCCUGCUAGGAACGCUCCAACUGCCAAAAAAAUGACCUUACAUCCAAGCCUGUCACUGCUACACUAGCAGCUGCUCCCUCACAUCUGACCCUGGACUAUACCUGCUGCUUUCUCCUAUAGGGGAGAGAGGGCAUCCUCUCCUGAGUCCGUAAGGGAGUUGCAGCGAUGGGACAAGACUAACUACCAAUUGGGGAGAAAUGAAACGUAACAGGCAUCGACACAGAUGAGCUGUGUGCCUGGAGAGCGGGCACAUCGCAUUUCUCGACAUUUCAAUUUCAGGAAGAAA
rnacentral:lncRNA from 1 species